GGGGCUGUAGUUCAGUGGUAGAGUGCUUGCCUAGGAUGCAUGAGGCACUUGGUUCCAUCCUCAGCUCCA
rnacentral:tRNA from 1 species